rnacentral:rRNA from 1 species
AGAGAGAGACAUGCGCGCAUAUCAAUAAGCGGAGGAAAAGAAACUAACAAGGAUUCCCUUAGUAACGGCGAGUGAAGCGGGAAGAGCUCAAAUUUGAAAUCUUCAAGGUUUUACCUUGACGAAUUGUAGUUUAAAGAAGUGUUUUCUGCUGAAGUUUUGGUAAAAGUUCUUUGGAAUAGGACAUCAUAGAGGGUGAGAAUCCCGUAUUUGACCAUUAUUUUCAGCUUUGUGAUACACUUUCAAAGAGUCGGAUUGUUUGGGAAUGCAGUCCAAAAUGGGUGGUAAAUUUCAUCUAAAGCUAAAUAUUGGCGAGAGACCGAUAGCGAACAAGUACCGUGAGGGAAAGAUGAAAAGAACUUUGAAAAGAGAGUUAAACAGUACGUGAAAUUGUCAAAAGGGAAGCGUUUGACACCAGUGUUGUUUUCUCGAAAAUCAAUUAAAAAUGGCUCGAUUUUGUAUUGUUGAGACCUUAAAAGCUCACUGUACGAUUUUUCGUGUCUUUUUUAAUGCACUUUUCGUUUAACAAGUCAACAUCAGUUUCUUUUGUUGUAAAAGGGUCAUUGGAAGGUGGCUUUCUUUUCGGAGAAAGUGUUUAUAGCCUUUGGCCUCUGCAAUCGGAGAGACUGAGGUCUGCAGCGUAGACUCUUCGGGGUUAGAUACAUUUGUGCUAAGUUAUAGCUUUUUAUAGACAACUUGUUGACUAUAAUUAGUCUUGUAGCUUACUCGCUUAUGCUAUUUUACCUACGCUUAGGAUGUUGAAGAUGUAGCACAUCAU